GACGAACGCUGGCGGCGUGCCUAAUACAUGCAAGUUGAGCGCUGAAGGUUGGUACUUGUACCAACUGGAUGAGCAGCGAACGGGUGAGUAACGCGUGGGGAAUCUGCCUUUGAGCGGGGGACAACAUUUGGAAACGAAUGCUAAUACCGCAUAAAAACUUUAAACACAAGUUUUAAGUUUGAAAGAUGCAAUUGCAUCACUCAAAGAUGAUCCCGCGUUGUAUUAGCUAGUUGGUGAGGUAAAGGCUCACCAAGGCGAUGAUACAUAGCCGACCUGAGAGGGUGAUCGGCCACAUUGGGACUGAGACACGGCCCAAACUCCUACGGGAGGCAGCAGUAGGGAAUCUUCGGCAAUGGACGAAAGUCUGACCGAGCAACGCCGCGUGAGUGAAGAAGGGUGUCGGAUCGUAAAACUCUGUUGGUAGAGAAGAACGUUGGUGAGAGUGGAAAGCUCAUCAAGUGACGGUAACUACCCAGAAGGGGACGGCUAACUACGUG
rnacentral:rRNA from 1 species